rfam:Spironucleus salmonicida unplaced genomic scaffold scf7180000020684, whole genome shotgun sequence.
GCUCCUGUGGCGUAAUUGGAUAGCGCACUUGACUACGGAUCAAGGGGCUGCAAGUUCAAGUCUUGCCAGGUGCA